rnacentral:rRNA from 1 species
CUAUGCGCCUUGCCAGCCCGCUCAGGUGUGCCAGCCGCCGCGGUAAUACGGAGGUGCAAGCGUUAAUCGGAAUUACUGGGCGUAAAGCGCACGCAGGCGGUUUGUUAAGUCAGAUGUGAAAUCCCCGGGCUCAACCUGGGAACUGCAUCUGAUACUGGCAAGCUUGAGUCUCGUAGAGGGGGGUAGAAUUCCAGGUGUAGCGGUGAAAUGCGUAGAGAUCUGGAGGAAUACCGGUGGCGAAGGCGGCCCCCUGGACGAAGACUGACGCUCAGGUGCGAAAGCGUGGGAGCAAACAGG